ensembl:rRNA 5S_rRNA 5S ribosomal RNA
GCUUACGGCCAUACCACCCUGAGAACGCCCGAUCUCGUCCGAUCUCGGAAGCUAAGCAGGGUCGGGCCUGGUUAGUACUUGGAUGGGAGACCGCCUGGGAAUACCAGGUGCUGUAAGCU